GACGGAGGAUGCAAGUGUUAUCCGGAAUCACUGGGCGUAAAGCGUCUGUAGGUGGUUUAAAAAGUCUACUGUUAAAAAUUGAAGCUUAACUUCAAAGAUGCCGUAGAAACUUUUAAACUCGAGGAUGGUAGGGGUAGAGGGAAUUUCCAGUGGAGCGGUGAAAUGCGUAGAUCUUGGAAAGACCACCAAUGGCGAAGGCACUCUACUGGGCCAUUACUGACACUAAGAGACGAAAGCUAGGGUAGCAAAUGGG
rnacentral:rRNA from 1 species